UGGGGAAUAUUGCACAAUGGGCGCAAGCCUGAUGCAGCGACGCCGCGUGGGGGAUGACGGCCUUCGGGUUGUAAACUCCUUUCGCUAGGGACGAAGCUUUUUGUGACGGUACCUAGAUAAGAAGCACCGGCUAACUACGUGCCAGCAGCCGCGGUAAUACGUAGGGUGCGAGCGUUGUCCGGAAUUACUGGGCGUAAAGGGCUCGUAGGUGGUUUGUCGCGUCGUCUGUGAAAUUCCGGGGCUUAACUCCGGGCGUGCAGGCGAUACGGGCAUAACUUGAGUACUGUAGGGGUAACUGGAAUUCCUGGUGUAGCGGUGAAAUGCGCAGAUAUCAGGAGGAACACCGAUGGCGAUGGCAGGUUACUGGGCAGUUACUGACGCUGAGGAGCGAAAGCAUGGGUAGCGAACAGG
rnacentral:rRNA from 1 species